GGGAAACUCACCAGGUCCAGACAUAAUAAGGAUUGACAGAUUGAUAGCUCUUUCUUGAUUUUAUGGGUGGUGGUGCAUGGCCGUUCUUAGUUCGUGGAGUGAUUUGUCUGCUUAAUUGCGUUAACGAACGAGACCUUAACCUGCUAAAUAGAAGCGCCUAUCCUCGGAUAAGCGCCUUUCUUCUUAGAGGGACUUUACGUGUUUCAACGUGAGGAAGUUUGAGGCUAAAA
rnacentral:rRNA from 1 species